AUUGAACGCUGGCGGCAGGCUUAACACAUGCAAGUCGAGCGAGCGGCGGACGGGUGAGUAAUGUCUGGGAAACUGCCUGAUGGAGGGGGAUAACUGCUGGAAACGGUAGCUAAUACCGCAUACCCUCAGAUGCGCCCAGAUGGGAUUAGCUAGUAGGUGGGGUAAUGGCUCAACUAGGGGACGAUCCCCAGCUGGUCUGAGAGGAUGACCAGCAACACUGGAGCGGAGACACGCUCCAGACUCCUACGGGAGGCAGCAGUGGGGAAUAUUGCACAAUGGGCGCAAGCCUGAUGCAGCCAUGCCGCGUGUGUGAAGAAGGCCUUCGGGUUGUAAAGCACUUUCAGCGAGGAGGCGUUACUCGAAGAAGAAGCACCGGCUAACUCCGUGCCAGCAGCCGCGGUAAUUC
rnacentral:rRNA from 1 species